rnacentral:sRNA from 1 species
CUUGGUCAUUUAGAGGAAGUAAAAGUCGUAACAAGGUUUCCGUAGGUGAACCUGCGGAAGGAUCAUUACAGAGAACAUGCCCUUUAGGGGGUAUAUCUCCCACCCUUUGUUUACAAUACCUUUGUUGCUUUGGUGGGCCCGUCUUUUAGACCACCGGCCUUGGCUGGUCUGUGCCCACCAGAGGACCAAACAAUUCCUUUUAUUAUGUUGUCUGAGUCUAAAUAAUUUUUAUAAAACUUUCAACAACGGAUCUCUUGGUUCUGGCAUCGAUGAAGAACGCAGCGAAAUGCGAUAAGUAAUGUGAAUUGCAGAAUUCAGUGAAUCAUCGAAUCUUUGAACGCACAUUGCGCCCGCUGGUAUUCCGGCGGGCAUGCCUGUUCGAGCGUCAUUAUGACCAAUCAAGCUCUGCUUGGCUUUGGGGCCCGCUGUACCGGCGGCCCUUAAAAUCAGUGGCGGUGCCGUCUGGCUCUAAGCGUAGUAAUACUUUUCGCUAUAGGGUUUAGUCGUUCACCCGCCAGAACCCCCCAACUUUCUUAGGUUGACCUCGGAUCGGGUAGGGAUACCCGCUGAACUUAAGCAUAUCAAUAAGCGGAGGA